GCCACGCACUCGACAAGCCGAAUGGUGACGAAAAUGGGCAAUGGGCGACGAAUGCUCCCUUCGUGAACACUCGCGCCUUUCCGGAACGAAACGAACCCUAUUUUUGGCUCCGGAAACUUUCAACUCUUUGUUACGGAACAGUGCGACGUUUGGUGGACAAUUCCGAAGAUGAAGUAUAUUCACAGCGUUUAGAGAAUGUGUCAUUCUGCUUCAGCGGCUGCGGGAUGAAGCUGUGGACAAGUGCUCUGCUCCUGUGUGUUCUUGCUGCCAUGGUGACAGCAAGACCUGACAGCCAUGGUAGAGUCGGCCGUGUUGACAGGAGACCUACUGAGGGCCCUAGUAAUCCAUAUGGGGCGCUGUCGAUGUACUAUGACAUACUCUGCUUCUACUGUAGGAUGACAAACUUAACAUGCCGGAAUUUGGACUGCUACACGUUUGGUAGGAAAUGAAGAAUGAUAAAGUUCUUUGCAGAAGCAUCGUUCUGAAGAUACAAUACUUUACAAUUGUGUAUUAACAGGCAUCGUUCUGAAGAUAAAGUUCUUGACAGAUAUGGAACAAGCGUCGUUCUGAAGAUGCAAUACUUUACAAUUGUGUAUUAACAGGCAUCGUUCUGAAGAUAAAGUUCUUUACAGAUGUGGAACAAGCAUCGUUCUGAAGAUGCAAUACUUUACAAUUGUGUAUUAACAGGCAUCGUUCUGAAGAUAAAGUUCUUGACAGAUAUGGAACAAGCAUCGUUCUGAAGAUGCAAUACUUUAUAAUUGUGUAUUAACAGGCAUCGUUCUGAAGAUAAAGUUCUUUACAGAUGUGGAACAAGCAUCGUUCUGAAGAUGCAAUACUUUACAAUUGUGUAUUAACAGGCAUCGUUCUGAAGAUAAAGUUCUUUACAGAUGUGGUACAAGCAGGACAUACUUCCCCUUUUCGCGAACACCCGGUGUCAUUUCUGAUUUUCGGUGAUCAAUUCAUAUAAUUUCCACCCAAUGGAAUCGGUUUCGUCGCAUAAUCGAGAUUCUCUGGUGUAAACGUUAUAUAUUUACA